GACAGAGGGUGCGAACGUUGUUCGGAAUUACUGGGCGUAAAGCGUGCGCAGGCGGCUUUGCAAGACAGAUGUGAAAUCCCCGGGCUUAACCUGGGAACUGCAUUUGUGACUGCAUGGCUGGAGUGCGGCAGAGGGGAUGGAAUUCCGGCGUGUAGCAGUGAAAUGCGUAGAUAUGCGGAGGAACACCGAUGGCGAAGGCAAUCCCCUGGGCCUGCACUGACGCUCAUGCACGAAAGCGUGGGGAGCAAACAGG
rnacentral:rRNA from 1 species